rnacentral:rRNA from 2 species
GGGGAAUAUUGCGCAAUGGGGGAAACCCUCACGCAGCAAUACCGCGUGAGUGAAGAAGGUUUUCGGAUCGUAAAGCUCUGUUAUUGGGGAGGAAAAAAAGACGGUACCCAAGAAGAAAGUCCCGGCUAACUACGUGCCAGCAGCCGCGGUAAUACGAAGGGGGCUAGCGUUGCUCGGAAUCACUGGGCGUAAAGCGCACGUAGGCGGAUCGUUAAGUCAGGGGUGAAAUCCUGGGGCUCAACCUCAGAACUGCCCUUGAUACUGGCGAUCUCGAGUUCGAGAGAGGUUGGUGGAACUCCGAGUGUAGAGGUGAAAUUCGUAGAUAUUCGGAAGAACACCAGUGGCGAAGGCGGCCAACUGGCUCGAUACUGACGCUGAGGUGCGAAAGCGUGGGGAGCAAACA